rnacentral:rRNA from 1 species
GACGAACGCUGGCGGCGUGCUUAACACAUGCAAGUCGAACGGAAAGGCCCUGCUUUUGUGGGGUACUCGAGUGGCGAACGGGUGAGUAACACGUGAGUAACCUGCCCUUGACUUUGGGAUAACUUCAGGAAACUGGGGCUAAUACCGGAUAGGACCUCCUGCUUCAUGGUGGGGGUUGGAAAGUUUCGGCGGUUGGGGAUGGACCCGCGGCUUAUCAGCUUGUUGGUGGGGUAGUGGCUUACCAAGGCUUUGACGGGUAGCCGGCCUGAGAGGGUGACCGGCCACAUUGGGACUGAGAUACGGCCCAGACUCCUACGGGAGGCAGCAGUGGGGAAUAUUGCACAAUGGGCGGAAGCCUGAUGCAGCAACGCCGCGUGCGGGAUGACGGCCUUCGGGUUGUAAACCGCUUUCGCCUGUGACGAAGCGUGAGUGACGGUAAUGGGUAAAGAAGCACCGGCUAACUACGUG